GCUUACAGUCAUAUUGCAUUGAAUGCACCAGUUCAGAUUUGAUCACUGAAGUUAAGCAAUGUCAAGCCUAAUUAGUAGUUGGAUGGAUGACCUAGGUGCUGUUAGCA
rnacentral:rRNA from 1 species